GUGAUCAUACCAGCACUAAUGCACUGGAUCCCGUCAGAACUUCUCAAUUAAGCGUGCUUGGGUGAAUGUAGUACUAGGAUGGGUGACCCCCUGGGAAGUGCUCCUAUUACACCCC